AUUGAACGCUGGCGGCAUGCCUUACACAUGCAAGUCGAACGGCAGCACGGGUGCUUGCACCUGGUGGCGAGUGGCGAACGGGUGAGUAAUACAUCGGAACAUGUCCUGUAGUGGGGGAUAGCCCGGCGAAAGCCGGAUUAAUACCGCAUACGAUCUACGGAUGAAAGCGGGGGACCUUCGGGCCUCGCGCUAUAGGGUUGGCCGAUGGCUGAUUAGCUAGUUGGUGGGGUAAGGGCCUACCAAGGCGACGAUCAGUAGCUGGUCUGAGAGGACGACCAGCCACACUGGGACUGAGACACGGCCCAGACUCCUACGGGAGGCAGCAGUGGGGAAUUUUGGACAAUGGGCGAAAGCCUGAUCCGGCAAUGCCGCGUGUGUGAAGAAGGCCUUCGGGUUGUAAAGCACUUUUGUCCGGAAAGAAAUCCUUGGCCCUAAUACGGUCGGGGGAUGACGGUACCGGAAGAAUAAGCACCGGCUAACUACGUG
rnacentral:rRNA from 1 species